rnacentral:snoRNA from 1 species
AUCCUUUUGUAGUUCAUGAGCAUGAUGAUUGGGUUUUCACAUGCACGUGCGAGCUGUGCCUCCCUCAAUCCUUGUUACAACAUCAGCACAUUACCCGUCUGACU